AAAUUUGAAAAAUGAUGAUGAUGAUAUUGAGUAGUUACAAUACUAGUAGAAUCUAUAACUACUCAAUAUCAUCAUCAUCAUUUUUC
rnacentral:miRNA from 1 species